rnacentral:lncRNA from 1 species
GUUUUUCAUGCAUAGAAGGAGUUUAGCAAGUGUUUUCAAGAACUGAAUGAGACAUCGGGACACCAGGAAAUAGUGGGGAAACUCCUUUAGUUUCCUCCUGCGCAGGCUGAGCCCAGGAUAAAAGGACCCUGUUCUGGGCUUCUCCACACACUUGAAUCCCUGAAGCCUGGAACAGCCUGGAAAGGCAGUUGAUCUACAAUCUAAAGAAAAUGUCCUAUCAGCAGCAGCAACAAUGCAAAGUUCCCUGCCAGCCCCCUCCCCAGGUCCCUGAGCCCUGCCCUCCCAAGGUGCCUGUGCCUUGCCCUCCCAAGGUGCCUGAGCCGUGUCCCCCACCUCCUGGCCAGCAGGAGUAUCCCCCUGUUAAGUGCCCCCCUGGCCAGCAAAAAUACCCGCCGAAGUAGAAGUGACACCUCUGAAGCCACCCUCUCCGACCUGGUCAUGAAGCACCCCCUUGCUCACUCCUGCCCCAUCACUUCCAGCAACAACAGGGAGCACACACAACCUAGAAGAUGCUGCCUCUCUUGAGACUCAAGAAGAAAGAUAUUGUCAUAGUCUACUGGAUUUUCCUCCUCCAAUCAACGACUCCUCCCAGCUCCUCUCCCAGGAAGCCACACGAUUUAGACAGAAGUGCCAUGUUCUCAGACCCUUCCCUAGAGGCCAUAUGUGUUCUUGCCCUUCUCCAUCCACUGUCCUGGUCGGGACCAGGCCAGACUUUCCAGCUGCCAUCUCCUCUACCACAUUGCCUUCUGCUGGUUGUACAAGCUCACUACAAGGACACAGAUUUCCUUGCUCAGCAAUCUGCCUCCGUGGGUUUCAACUCCAUGAAAGUUUCUAGGAGCAAACAUGAUUGAAAAAUUAAAACAAGGGAACUGUUUAAAUCAAUUGAAAGUUUCCUAGAGUUCUUCACAGCACAACUGCACACUCUUUAGCGAAGAGAACGAGGUCUUCUGUUUGUUAUUUCCCACAACCCCUAAGAAAGCUCACCCCUCCCUCUGGACUCUGACUCCAUUAAAAUGACUCCAUGCUCUAUGAUGCUCCUUCCUCCCUGCUUCUCAAUAAAAAAUAUGCAUCCCUGA